UGGGGAAUAUUGCACAAUGGGCGCAAGCCUGAUGCAGCAACGCCGCGUGAGGGACGACGGCCUUCGGGUUGUAAACCUCUUUUGGCAGGGAAGAAGCGAAAGUGACGGUACCUGCAGAAAAAGCACCGGCUAACUACGUGCCAGCAGCCGCGGUGAUACGUAGGGUGCAAGCGUUGUCCGGAAUUAUUGGGCGUAAAGAGCUCGUAGGCGGUUUGUCGCGUCUGCUGUGAAAACCCGAGGCUCAACCUCGGGCCUGCAGGGGGUACGGGCAAACUAGAGUGCGGUAGGGGAGAUUGGAAUUCCUGGUGUAGCGGUGGAAUGCGCAAAUAUCAGGAGGAACACGGAUGGCGAAGGCAGAUCUCUGGGCCGUAACUGACGCUGAGGAGCGAAAGCAUGGGGAGCGAAC
rnacentral:rRNA from 1 species